GACGAACGCUGGCGGCGUGCCUAAUACAUGCAAGUCGAGCGGAUGUUUCGGUGUGCUUGCACACGGAAAUGUUAGCGGCGGACGGGUGAGUAACACGUAGGUAACCUGCCUGUAAGACAGGGAUAACUACCGGAAACGGUGGCUAAUACCAGAUAAACAUCCUUCUCGCCUGAGGAGGAUGGGAAAGGCGGAGCAAUCUGUCGCUUACAGAUGGACCUGCGGCGCAUUGGCUAGUUGGUCAGGUAACGGCUGACCAAGGCGACGAUGCGUAGCCGACCUGAGAGGGUGAACGGUCACACUGGGACUGAGACACGGCCCAGACUCCUACGGGAGGCAGCAGUAGGGAAUCUUCCGCAAUGGACGCAAGUCUGACGGAGCAACGCCGCGUGAGUGAAGAAGGUUUUCGGAUCGUAAAGCUCUGUUGCCAGGGAAGAGAAAGUAGGAGAGGAACUGUUCCUACUGAGACGGCACCUGAGAAGAAAGCCCCGGCUAACUACGUGCCAGCCGCCGCGGUAACAC
rnacentral:rRNA from 1 species